UACGGAGGGGGCUAGCGUUGUUCGGAAUUACUGGGCGUAAAGCGCGCGUACGCGGACCUGCAAGUCGGGGGUGAAAGCCCGAGGCUCAACCUCGGAACUGCCUUCGAUACUGCGGGUCUCGAGUCCGGGAGAGGUGAGUGGAAUUCCUAGUGUAGAGGUGAAAUUCGUAGAUAUUAGGAAGAACACCAGUGGCGAAGGCGGCUCACUGGCCCGGUAUUGACGCUGAGGAGCGAAAGCCAGGGGAGCAAACGGG
rnacentral:rRNA from 1 species